CUUUGCAGGGAAAAUGACCCCUGACACCAAGUUCUGAAAUACAGAGACAUUCUGUGUUACUAGCAAGCAGUAGCACAAACCCAGGGGGAGCUGGAGAGAGAGGAGAGCUUAAGCGACAGUCGGACAGGGCUGCUCUUGCCCCUUUCUGGGUCAGUACUGAGACCCAGUGUACCAUACCUUGCUCUUCCAGGAUGCCGUUGGGCAUCUUCUUGUCGUUGUUGCUGACCACGGAUUUCCUCUGCUUCCUGAACCUUAGAGGCAUAAGAUGCGCAUUAGGUCUCUGCACAGAGGGAACCCCCAAGCCCUGAGUGCCUUGAUACCCACCAGGAGCUGGUUAGGGCACGUCAGCGCCUGGGGACACUCCUACCUGAAGAAGUAGGCUGCGAGGAGGAGUAGGAGGAGGAGCAGAGGCAGCAGCAGCCAGGAAAAACUUUCCAACCUGAGAAGACAGAAGACCCUGAAAAUCCACAAGUGGUGACUGCAUGAAGACUGCAUAAAACUAAUGGAUGGGAGCCACACAGAACAGUGAAUGGGGGUGGGAACCGCAUAAGCCAGUGAAUAAGGGCCACAUAAAAUUACAAUGAAUGGGGGUUGUAUACGAUCAGUGAGUGGAAGUCACGCUCAACUCUUUUUCCAUUAAAAGUUACAUGGAAACAGAGGCAGGUAAUUUGUUGGAAUAACCUUUUGAUCUUACUUAACCCAAAUUUUCACCAGUGAGUGGAUAUUAGUGAUUAAGGAAAAAAACGGAAGAAAAUAAGUUCAAUAUCAAUUUUAAAAGGAAUGAUAAACCACGGGCAUAGCAAGGACUCUGCCCUCAGCGCCCUCUGCCACUGUCCCUUUCUCAAUCAGAAAAGUUCAUGGUGCUAAUGGAAGGCACUGUCAACGCCUAUAAAGGAAAGCUGAAAUGUGACGCUCACCCACUGGGAACGGAACUCUGAAUUCUUUCUGUGCCAGUCAGCUUUUCAUGACUGUGACAAAAACCCCGAGGAAACACCAUCCAUGGAUUAAUCGGCUGAAGAGGUCAGAGCCCUUAUGACCCUAUCGUUGCCCACAGGACAAGUGUUUAGGGGAUGUCUCAUGCCAUAACUGUUUUCACGCUCACCACUGUAUGUUCAUGUUAAUAAGCAUGUCCAGAUGUUGUUAGCUGUGAAGUCACUACCACACGAGGUGUGGCUUUGCAGUGAUGGCGGUCUUGCUCCACCCACUUCUG